AUGGAGAGUUUGAUCCUGGCUCAGGACGAACGCUGGCGGCGUGCCUAACACAUGCAAGUCGAGCGGGAUCCAUCCAGUAGCAAUACUGGUGAAGAUCUAGCGGCGAACGGGUGAGUAACACGUGAGAAACCUGCCCCGAACUUUGGGAUAACACGAGGAAACUCGUGCUAAUACCGAAUACCCUCAUAUGGUCGCAUGGCCGCAUGAGGAAAGAUUUAUCGGUUCGGGAGGGUCUCGCGGCCUAUCAGCUAGUUGGCGGGGUAACGGCCGACCAAGGCGUCGACGGGUAGCUGGUCUGAGAGGACGAUCAGCCACACUGGGACUGAGACACGGCCCAGACUCCUACGGGAGGCAGCAGUGGGGAAUCUUGCGCAAUGGGCGAAAGCCUGACGCAGCAACGCCGCGUGCGGGAUGAAGGCCUUCGGGUU
rnacentral:rRNA from 1 species